rnacentral:rRNA from 1 species
CUACGGAGGAUCCGAGCGUUAUCCGGAUUUAUUGGGUUUAAAGGGUGCGUAGGUGGUUUGAUAAGUCAGCGGUGAAAGUUUGCAGCUUAACUGUAAAAAUGCCGUUGAAACUGUCGGACUUGAGUGUAAAUGAGGUAGGCGGAAUGCGUGGCGUAGCGGUGAAAUGCAUAGAUAUCACGCAGAACUCCGAUUGCGAAGGCAGCUUACUAAGCUACAACUGACACUGAAGCACGAAAGCGUGGGGAGCAAACAGGAUUAGAUACCCUGGUAGUCCACGCAGUAAACGAUGAUUACUAGCUGUUUGCGAUACACAGUAAGCGGCACAGCGAAAGCAUUAAGUAAUCCACCUGGGGAGUACGCCGGCAACGGUGAAACUCAAAUGAAUUGACGGGG